UGAUUGACGAUGGAUCACCAGUGAGUGGCGGACGGGUGAGUAACACGUAGGUAACCUGCCCCGGAGCGGGGGAUAACAUUUGGAAACAGAUGCUAAUACCGCAUAACAACAAAAGCCACAUGGCUUUUGUUUGAAAGAUGGCUUUGGCUAUCACUCUGGGAUGGACCUGCGGUGCAUUAGCUAGUUGGUAAGGUAACGGCUUACCAAGGCGAUGAUGCAUAGCCGAGUUGAGAGACUGAUCGGCCACAAUGGAACUGAGACACGGUCCAUACUCCUACGGGAGGCAGCAGUAGGGAAUCUUCCACAAUGGGCGCAAGCCUGAUGGAGCAACACCGCGUGAGUGAAGAAGGGUUUCGGCUCGUAAAGCUCUGUUGUUGGAGAAGAACGUGCGUGAGAGUAACUGUUCACGCAGUGACGGUAUCCAACCAGAAAGUCACGGCUAACUACGUGCCAGCAGCCGCGGUAAUACGUAGGUGGCAAGCGUUAUCCGGAUUUAUUGGGCGUAAAGCGAGCGCAGGCGGUCGCUUAGGUCUGAUGUGAAAGCCUUCGGCUUAACCGAAGAAGUGCAUCGGAAACCGGGCGACUUGAGUGCAGAAGAGGACAGUGGAACUCCAUGUGUAGCGGUGGAAUGCGUAGAUAUAUGGAAGAACACCAGUGGCGAAGGCGGCUGUCUGGUCUGCAACUGACGCUGAGGCUCGAAAGCAUGGGUAGCGAACAGGAUUAGAUACCCUGGUAGUCCAUGCCGUAAACGAUGAGUGCUAGGUGUUGGAGGGGUUUCCGCCCUUCAGUGCCGGAGCUAACGCAUUAAGCACUCCGCCUGGGGAGUACGACCGC
rnacentral:rRNA from 1 species